rnacentral:lncRNA from 1 species
UACGCAAAAAUCCGGUUUCUGAGGCAUCCUUGCUCCAGGCAGGUAUACCCAGUCCUCUGCUAAUAAGUCCGAGGGCGAUUUAGCGUUGCAGCCUAUGGGAAAGACUUCGCUUUCUUGCUCCUUGGACCGGUGAUUGCAUAUUUGUUCCUUCUGGGCUCACACUUUCCCAACCGGUCGUUAUCCUCCCACAUGAUUUAUUUCUAGAAAAAAAAUUGGUAAGUGCUACAGUUCCCACCCCUUCAACCGAAUGCCUGUGACAGCUCCGUGUUCAAGUGGAAUGCAGGGACACAAAAUGCACAGACCAUACAUGCAUCCUAAAGGAAGAGGAGAGAGGAGGAAAUGGGAAGAAGAAAAAAAGAAAGGAAGCUUCCUCAUCUAUAAAAUGGAGAUGGUAAUUCAUGGGGUUGUAAAGAGAAACAGAAGCAAUAAUCCGUGUGAAACCACUCUGUAAAAUAAUUGUUUGUGAAAAGUACACAUAAGUCAUAACUCCUACCCCUCAGGAUAUUCUCUUUUAAGGAGUCUAGACCCAUACACUUUUAACUUUUAACUCCAGAGCAAGAUAGUUUAAGAACAAUAUCUGGUUGGUGUAGUGGUGCGUUCCUGUAACGCUGGCUACUCUCCUGGCUGAGGCAAGAGAAUCACAAGUUCAAAAAUAGUCUGGAUAAUUUUGGAAAAACUUGUCUCAAAAUUUUUGAAAAGAAAUGGGGAUGUAGCUCAGUGAUAGAGUGUUUGCCUAGUGUGUUUGAGGCCUGGGUUUAUUCCCCAGACUCCAACAACUGUCACUUUUAUUCAUUUAUUUAUUUAUUUAUACACUAAAAUAAGUUUAUUGAGUUAUUUCUAUGUAUCAUUUAACCAAGGAUACUGCAGUAUCCUUAGUUAGACCCUGUUGCUGCCUUCAAAAAGUAUGUAGUCUAUUCUGGAAACAGGUAUUACCAUCUGGGGUGGUCAUCAAAUGUGCUGACUUCUGGCUUCCAGCUUUUUCUUCCUCACUCAUCUUGCCCUGUGCCUAACAAAGUGCUUCAUCUAUAGUGUGCUCUCAUUAGUGAAUGCCUUGAAUUCAGAAGAGUCAUUUCUUGUACUGAGAUGGAUACAUAAAACACUGCAGACCAUGAAUAAACAAUAUGGGAGAUGGGAAACUGUGUCA